rnacentral:rRNA from 1 species
AACGAACGCUGGCGGCAGGCCUAAAACAUGCAAGUCGAGCGGGCAUAGCAAUAUGUCAGCGGCGGACGGGUGAAUAACACGUGGGAACAUGCCCUUUGGUACGGAACAACUCAGGGAAACUUGAGCUAAUACCGUAUGUGCCGGUAACGGGAAGAUUUAUCGCCAAAGGAUUGGCCCGCGUCCGAUUAGCUAGUUGGUGAGGUAACGGCUCACCAAGGCGACGAUCGGUAGCUGGUUUGAGAGAACGAUCAGCCACACUGGGACUGAGACACGGCCCAGACUCCUACGGGAGGCAGCA